AUUCUGUCUCCACGUACAAGCAUUGCACAGUCCGUCCUUUUCAGCGUUCUCUGUGGGCUGACUACUGUCAUCAAGAGCCACCGGAUCAACUGAAAUCAGCAUGAACAGCUGUGUCAGCUGCUGCAUCACUGAUGGGAAACCUUGGAUUCCUCUCAAGAGUUGUUACCGUGCUUGGAGAGGCUUCACUUGUGAAUUUGCACAAUCAAAGUGCUUGAAACGCCACAAUACUUUGCCUCAGCAUCACUAGCUACAAGAAUGCUUGUAUUUUCUCCGAGGCACAGCUCUUCGGAGGGGAUUUUCACCCCAGGAGGGUUACACUGCAAGGAGUUUCUUUCUCUGAAGAUGGUGUAAUCAAUAAUAUUCUACAAAUGUCUACAGUAUUUCUGGCAAGGUAACAUAGAAUAGACAGAUGUAGAUA